rnacentral:rRNA from 1 species
UACGGAGGGUGCAAGCGUUAUCCGGAUUCACUGGGUUUAAAGGGUGCGUAGGAGGGCAGGUAAGUCAGUGGUGAAAUCUCCAAGCUUAACUUGGAAACUGCCGUUGAUACUAUCUGUCUUGAAUACCGUGGAGGUGAGCGGAAUAUGUCAUGUAGCGGUGAAAUGCUUAGAUAUGACAUAGAACACCAAUUGCGAAGGCAGCUUACUAUGGUAUGAUUGACGCUGAGGCACGAAAGCGUGGGGAUCAAACAGG